rnacentral:rRNA from 1 species
UACGGAGGGUGCAAGCGUUAUCCGGAUUCACUGGGUUUAAAGGGUGCGUAGGUGGGCAAGUAAGUCAGUGGUGAGAUCUCCGGGCUUAACCCGGAAACUGCCAUUGAUACUAUUUGUCUUGAAUACUGUGGAGGUCAGCGGAAUAUGUCAUGUAGCGGUGAAAUGCUUAGAUAUGACAUAGAACACCAAUUGCGAAGGCAGCUGGCUACACAAAUAUUGACACUGAGGCACGAAAGCGUGGGGAUCAAACAGG